AACUAGGAAGAGUGGUUCUUUAUUACACAUGGGAACACGGGCUGUGUUUGUACAGUGCACCACUCCCGUCAAUCUUUCUGUUCUCUCCUUCGAAACCGAAGAAAGCCAAACCACAAAAAAUGCAUAGACAAUCCAAUAUUUUUCCGCAUUUGCCCUCCCGUGUCGAACAAUAAUACACUCAUCUUCACAGAGCUGAUCAACUUUUAACUUUCUGUUCUCUAACAUGGCAACAAGCUUUCUCUCUCUUUGGGUUCUCCUUCUGCUCCUGUACCCAGUAAGGCCCGAUGUGGACGAUGCCGAUACCUUGUUGAACGGGUUCAGCCGAGGGUUCGGUGCUGCAAGCACCAACAUGAGCUUAAACGGCAUUGCAUCCAUUGAGAAAAAUGGCCUACUUCGCCUUACAAACGACACGCUCAUGGCAAAAGGCCACGCGUUUUAUUUCCGCCCAAUUCAACUCAAGAACUCCAGCGGCAACGCCAUGUCCUUCUCUACUUCCUUCGCUUUCGCUAUAGUCACCCUGCCUGAUAGACAAGGAGGGGAUGGCCUCGCGUUCACGAUCUCUGCCUCAAAAGAGCUUCUUGGGGGUCAGCCGGGAUCUUAUCUUGGCCUAUUCAACGCCACCAAUGAUGGGCUUCCCUCGAACUACAUAAUCGCGGUCGAAUUCGACACUUUCAAGAAUAUUGAGUUCAAUGAAGAAAAUGGAAACCAUGUUGGCAUCGACAUCAACAGCAUAAUAUCGAACGUAUCUGUUCCGGUCAAGCAGUUUCAGGGUGGUGGUGACACGAACAAGGUUGACCUUAACUUGAAAAGUGGUCUGGUAAUUCAGGCAUGGAUCGACUAUAAUUCUCCAAUAAAUCAAUUAGACGUGAGGAUUGCGACGGAUUCUACCAAACCCAGGUCUUCAAUUUUGUCCUAUAAAGUAAACCUCUCACAAUAUCUUCAAGAAUCCAUGUACGUCGGGUUUUCUGCUGGCACUGGCGCAUCCACAAGCUCCCAUUAUAUACUCGGUUGGAGCUUCAACAGGAAUGGAGAUGCCAGAACUAUCAAUCUUGUUCAACUCCCGAAGAUUCCUACUAACACCAAAAAGAAUCACACAGGCCUAAUUGUUGGCGUCUCGGUUUCAUGUGUUUUGGCUGUGAUUUUGGUGACUGCCGCGGCUUUUUACAUCAUCUGGAGAAUCAAGACGGCUGAUGUGAUUGAAGCCUGGGAGCAUGAUAUUGGUCCUCAUAGAUUUCCUUACCAGGAGCUGAACCAAGCGACGAGGGGUUUCAGAGACAAAGAGCUAAUUGGGUCUGGUGGAUUCGGUCGAGUUUAUAAAGGAGUCCUGCCAAAUUCAGAUACCCAAGUUGCUGUUAAGCGUAUCUCCCAUGACUCAAAACAGGGUUUGCAAGAGUUCGUGUCAGAGGUUGCUAUUAUUGGUCGUCUUCGCCACAGAAACUUGGUUCAAUUACUGGGUUGGUGUCGUCGGGAAGCUGAUCUACUUCUUGUGUAUGAUUUCAUGCCUAAUGGAAGCUUGGACAGGCAUCUCUUUGAUGAGCCUAAAGCAACCCUGAGCUGGGAGCAAAGGUUCAAGGUCAUCAAAGGAGUGGCUUCAGGGCUUCUCUACUUACAUGAGGAGUGGGAGCAAACCGUAGUUCACAGAGACAUCAAGGCAGGAAAUGUUUUAUUGGAUUCUGAAUUUAACCCAAAGCUGAGUGAUUUUGGUCUGGCCAAGCUGUACGAGCACGGGUCCAAACCAAGGACUACCAGGGUGGUGGGCACGCUGGGUUAUUUGGCACCUGAGCUCACACGCACAGGUAAGGCCACAACCAGUUCGGAUGUUUUUGCCUUUGGUGCUCUGUUGCUCGAAGUCGCAUGUGGUAGAAGACCCAUUAAUUCUGAUGCAUCGUCUGAGGAGUUCAUGCUGGUGGAUUGGGUGUGGCAGAAGUGGAGAGUAGGAGCAAUUCUUGGUGUUACGGACCCAAAGUUGGGGGGCGAAUUUGACGAGUCUGAAGUCGUUUUGGUGCUUAAACUGGGCUUAAUGUGUUCCAAUGAUGACCCGGAGGCACGCCCCACGAUGCGGCAGUUGGUGAGGUACUUGGAGGGCGAGUUGGCGCUGCAGGAGGAGGUGGCGGAGCCAUAUAGGAAAAAAGUACGUGGUGCUACUGCUAGCGAUUCGUUUGAGAAUUUCUUGCAAUCCUUUCCAACUACGUCGUCGUAUUCUCAGAAGGCCAGCACGUGGGCUUCCGUCGGUAACAGUGGGAAUGAUGAUGCUGAAACUGGUUUGACCCCUCCAUUUUCAGUUCUCAGCAGAGAGAGACCGGUAGUUAGGCAAAGCAGCAUAUAAGAAGAAUCUUCGAUCCUGUCUCUGGAGGUUUUGCUGAUUUGGAAGGAACCCAAGACCCAAAAGCUAGCUGGAAAUUAUGAUGGAGUUGCCUACAUAUGUUCCGUGGACUUUUAAUUCUAGAGACAUAAAGCCACGAAAUGAUUUGUUGGGAUUCUGAGUUUGAUAAAAGGUUUAGCAAUUUUGGUCUUGCUAAGGCGCCACACGAGCACACUCAGCUCAUACCCUAGCACCACCAGGGCGCCCAGGGUUGUUUAACUUAUUUUGGGACCUAUGCUCACAUGGACAUGGUUAGGCAAGCCUAGCAUCAGCUCGGAUACGUUAAUUUGCAACUAUUCAUGAUUUGUUUGAGAAGAUCCCGUGGAUUCGGACGCAUAGGCGAUUUACAUCUUUUAGCUUCAAUCUCAUCACCUUUGUCGAGCUUUACAUCCUGCUUUGUUUUUAAGAUUUUCGAUUUAAACCAUGGUCGCUUCAAUAUUUAUAAUGUCAUCCCGUUAAAAGAUAAUGAAAUGAUGAUGAUUAAUUUUU